AUAAGUAUUAAGUAGAUAACUAUAUGUCUUUUUGUUUACAAACUAGAAUCGUUACAUUUAAAGUAGGUACAGCGAAUAUUCAAAAACACUUACUCAAAAAUACAGACAUAGUAAAGAAAUGGAACUAAAUUUAACUAAAUCAUUUAUAAUUGCCCUCAAGUUAUUAUGGAGUCCAUAUUUCAGUUUUUGGGACAAGUUCACAAAGAAAUUUUUGAAGUCAUCUCAAGAGACAGUGGUAAUUUUGCUACAACAGCCGCUUUUGACCACUGUUCUUUCUUCGCUGUUGAUUCUGAUGUUAUUAGGCAUUUUAUUCAUUUCUUUCGCUGCGAUCAUAAUAACAUUAGGCCUUAUAAUUAUUAUAUUAAUAGUAGAAGGUAGCUUUAUGGUCAUUGGGUUUGUUUUGACGGGACUUAUUCUAAUAGCAAUUUUUAUUUUCUUUAUCAUGGUAAAUGCAAUCAAACAUCACAUAGAACACAUAAGAACAACAUUAUUGUAUCAACACAAAUAAUUAAUAAUAUAUAAGUACCUAGAUGUAGAAAAAUACUAAAUGGACUCUAGAUUCUAUAUGAAUUUAUAGAAUAUCUAUAUUUAACGGAGUUUACUUAGUUACUUAUACUUUAUCGAUAAGUGUGACAACAAGAUUAUAGUAAUAUAAAGUUUAUAUAUAAACCUGCUCACUUCCAGAAUAUUAUGCUGAAUUAUAUUGCAACACAAUAAAUUUUCUAGUACUAAAUAAGUAGUUGGAUAACAACCCAUAUAAUUUCUAAAUAUUUAAUUGUCUCAUACUACGUAUUGAUUAUAAAAUUAUUUAGACAAUUCCUGAAAUAAGAUUAAAUAAAUGUAAGAUGAAAAUA